AUUGAACGCUGGCGGCAUGCCUUACACAUGCAAGUCGAACGGCAGCAUGGAAGAGCUUGCUCUUCUGAUGGCGAGUGGCGAACGGGUGAGUAAAGCAUCGGAACGUACCGUGUAAUGGGGGAUAACGUAGCGAAAGUUACGCUAAUACCGCAUACGACCUGAGGGUGAAAGCAGGGGAUCGCAAGACCUUGCGUUAUACGAGCGGCCGAUGUCAGAUUAGCUAGUUGGUGAGGUAAAGGCUCACCAAGGCGACGAUCUGUAGCGGGUCUGAGAGGAUUAUCCGCCACACUGGGACUGAGACCCGGCCAAGACUCCUACGGGAGGCAGCAGUGGGGAAUUUUGGACAAUGGGGGCAACCCUGAUCCAGCCAUGCCGCGUGAGUGAAGAAGGCCUUCGGGUUGUAAAGCUCUUUCGGCCGGGAAGAAAUCGCACAGGCUAAUACUCUGUGUGGAUGACGGUACCGGCAUAAGAAGCACCGGCUAACUACGUACCAGCAGCCGCCGUAA
rnacentral:rRNA from 1 species